GAAAAAGGGCUCAUAUAGACCAAAAAUCUAAAUAUAACAUCCACGGUCCAAUCCAUUCUAAUCCACUAUGAACAAGCACAUCAUCACAACGGAUCUUUGUUGCAGUUUUUGUACUUGAGAUGCCACUUCAAUCUGUGAAUAUAAAUUUUAAAAAGACGGGACGCAUUUUCCUAUAAUUUACAAUAUAUGCUCUUUAAAAAACCCGAAUAUAUACUAACUAACUAUGCCUUUUCUUACAACUGGCGACCUAUAACCUUGCAUACCAUUACAGACUACACUAACACUAUCUUACCAUGUAUAAAACACAUUGACUAAACCUUACAAAUUACAAUCAUAAACAAACUUCCAAGCCGUAAUUUCAGUUUUCAUCCCCGUGCUUGCUGCUAAAAAUGGGACUAACGGCCUUUGCAAUUAAUUGUAAGCCAGCCCGUCUCCAUACUUUGUAGCAAGGAGUCAGUCCCAACACUAGAGUGCAUUGCAAAGGAAGAUGCUGGUCAUUUCCUCCUGGGAUAUAAUUUCAAGGAUGUGAUUCCAGAUAAACAAACAAAUAUAAACCACUUCAGAUCGUGCCUUGAGAACCUUACAGGUAGGCAUUAACUUGAUACAACAAGAAAAAUACAUCAAGAAGCCAAUAAUACGAGAAACAAAGCACCCAUGAACAUACACAUACACACACUAUUACAAAAUACAGAUGCGUAAAACAUUUGUUAUAUAAAAACGAACAUCAAAAUUUUUAGUAUUAUCAAAAAUAUCUUUACAACUGAAUUUUGUAUUUAAGGUUAAUGAUUCAUUAAUCAUGAGAAGUCACAAAAUAUCACACAUAAUGCACAUGAGAUGAAAGUCGCAUGAAUGGAAAAAUAUGUAAAUUUAUUCCAUGCAACAGUUAAAUGCAGUGCAUUUGAUCAUAAAGAGGCAGAUUGCACACACAAACCAUCAUUCUCGUACCAUUUUAACAUUAAAGUGAUUACUAGUGCUACAGCUUCUUAAAGGCAUUGGUGUAUUCUUCACAAAUAUUGAAAUAUAUUUUAGAACUAUAAUUACUUUCAUCCUUAGAUCUCUUUAAUCAGAACAUGUUUUCAGGUGUACUAAUGCUCUGGAUAAAGUAUAAAUGAAAAAUAAUAGUAUCCAAGGUCCUAAUACCCCAAUGGGAAGCCCAAACAGGGCUAGAUAUUUAAAAAUCAGUCCUACAGUUUCCUCAUAUUUCCAUGCUUCUUCUUCUAACCGUUUUCACUCCAAAUCCAACUCAGUUUUAUCAGUCACUAGCCUGGGGUUGUUAAGGUUGUAAUCAGCUGGUCAAAUUUAAAGUUCUCAGUGCCUCAAAACUCUGCCAAGUUUCAGAAUAUAAUAACAAAGAACACUCACUUGUUAAAAUGCUUGCAACUGAUUGGAGUUCAAAAAUGAAUAGAAUCUAUUCACAUGCCUCCUGAGGAAAGACUACUUUGUUCCAACUGAAGAAAGUUAGUCCUGCCCUGAAGGCCGAAUUGAACUUCCUGCUGUAGUUGUUGAUACAAAUGGGUUAGAAGGGGUAGGAGACAAUGUCCCCAUGGGUCUUGCAAUUGGCGGCCUUUGGGAAGUCAUGCUCAUAAGGGGCCUCGGAAUUGAGUUUGCACAGUUCGUUGCAAUUCUGUUGGUGGGUAAUGUUGGUGGCAUUCCUCUAGAUGAAGAUGCCGGUAACCCAAGUCGGGCUGCAAUUAUUUGUGCUCGCUCAUGGUACAGCCUUUGCCUUAAUCUGUCAAGUUGCUCCCUAACCCUCAUUGUCACGAGGUCCAUUUCUUUAAAGAAAGCCAACUUCAUUUCCAGCUUAUGCACCUGCUUUUUUAUCAACAAUGCAGCAAGUUGACGGAUUUGGUCUUCUUCCUGGUUUGCAAGAAGUUUUGCCUUCACUGCUGCUGCUGAAAGAGCAGAAACUGCAGCACACUUAAAUUUAUAGAAGCGGUUGUCCUCUUUAAUCUCUUCACGAUUAGGCUUCCAUUUUUUACUGUCCUUGUGGUCCUCAGCUGCAGUUGCUCCUUUUCCAACAACUGAAUUUGAGGCAACUGGCUGCUGAGACUCUUUUGCUUCUGAAGGCAGUUCAGAUGACAUGCAUAUAUCCUUUGGUGCCUCUGUAGGCUGAGAGUUAUUUGCUACUGAAUUUGAUUUCACUAGUUGCUCAUUCUUCUCAGCAGGCAGAGAAUCUGAGAUCAUGCCAACAUCCUCUGAUGUCUCUGCAGCUAGAGAGGGCUCUUGUACCAACACUGGUGCAGCUGAUUGACAAGGCUCAUUUUCAGAAGGUUUCAAAUUGGACACCAUAUCUUCAUCCUUAGAGACCUCUGUUUGCUGAGAGUUCAGAGCCACUGAAGACCCUUCUGUCUCCUUUAUAGAACUUGGUGGACAUGGAGACUUGGAUUGCAUCUCAAUUAAUUCCUUUAACGCACUUACCUGAGGUUCCUUUUGUAAUGAGUCACUAGACUCCUUCAAUUUACCAAUUUCAACUUCCUCAUGAAAAUUUACAGUAACUGCAUCAUUUGCAGCAUUUAAUUUCUCUGUGGGUUCAUCAUUUGAGGAAUCUGGAGGUUGCUUUUCCUCUGAAGCACAAUCUUCAGUUUUCUCAUCACUGUGGUCAAUUGAUAAGUCUCUUCCAUCCAAGUCUUUCUGGGCUUGGCGUUCAUGGUUGUACUUUUGAGCAUCUUGAUUAGCCGUUUCUAUGGCACUGCUGCAAAUCUCUUAUCACAUGAGAAACAAACCCAUGUUUGUUCAUAAAGAAUUUAGCAUGGAAAAAGGUUUACACACCAAUCAAGACCCGCUGGUCCCUUCUGGUCAUCUGGUGGAUCUUCCAAAAGAAAGCAGUGCCUUGUAGCCAGCUGCAUACCUGGAGAAUCACUAUUUAAAGACUUCAAAGAGCUGCGAGCUGAAGCCACAGCCACAUCACUUCCUACCAGUCUGGCCAAAAACACAGCCUAUAAAGGAAACCAAAUAACAUAUAAGUUGAAAGGGAUUAGCUUAAUUUUGAAGGUGAAAGAGCAAAUGAGAUCUUUUACUGUUUACAAAACGAUAUGCGAUUUGAAGACAGGCAAACAACUUUUUUUCACUAUUCAUAUACACCAUAGGAAUUAAAAGGGGAGAAAAGUAAAAAAAUAACAAACUUUUGCUUUGCAUUACUAAUUUGAAACAUGUCAGAACAUCUUAUUUUGUUUAGAGCACGUCUAUUGCUGACUUUCUUUCACAUUCAGUUGGAAGCAUUUAUCUGUUGAUCAUAAAUAUUUGUAUUAGUACACGGGGGAAUCGCCAUGAUAUGAGGCUCCCUACUUUGCAAGGAUCGGGGGAGGAUCAUCCAUGCAGCCUUCCCCCCGCUUUUUUCAGUUGUUUCCACUACUCAAACCAUUGACCUCCCGAUCACAAUGGAGACAGUGAGUUCAUUUCCUGAUGCACCCAUUCACCCAAUGAAACGACCUAAUUUUCUUCAUAUUAACAUUUGACUUACCAAAGCCAUGACAGGAUUUCCAACUUCAGCAAAUGAAAGUCGAUUUUCAGGAGUACAGGGAUAACCAACAGCUUCAAAUGCUUCUGUAAGAGCUUUGAGUGCCAAAUUUUCACAGGCAUGCUGAGCAGCCUUCACUUCAAUAGUAUCUUCUGAUUUUGAAGAUUUCUCAUCAACUAUUGCUUCACUGGUGUUGUUAGGCUUUGCAGUUUCCUGACAACCUUUUACUUCAACCACUUCUUCUGAUCUUGAAGCUUCCAGCUUCAGAGGAUGAUCCUCCUUAGCACCAGUUUUAUCCUUCAUUGUUUCAGUCCCAUCCUUAGGAACAGAUGUAUCAUCAGUGGUUGCACGUUGAUCUUUAGUUUCUUUGGAAAUCCCAUCUACAUCAUCAUCACAGUCAAAAAAGACAUCUUCAAUAGGCAUUUGAACAAAGUGCAAUAUACAUUGAGCUUUAGUUUUUGUGGCAACAUGCUCUGCAAUCUCAUUCCAGUUUUCUUUAUAAAGUUCCAAUGCUUCAAGAAGAAGUAGGGUCUCCUGAUCUGUCCACUUUCCACCACUUAGACCAGGAGCCUCAGCAGGCUCCAUGAGAAUAAAAUCUGAAGAAGACAUGUUUGAUCCAAAUAUCCCAUUAAUAAAGCAAUCAGCACAUAGAUCAUAAUCUGCCUUCUUUUGACAAUGGUAGCGCUUGCGCGAGCAAUCAGCUGAACAAGAAUUGCAGUGGUACUCAACAGCUGGCUCCUCAGGCCUCACUAACUCUUCUGCAAGUGAAGACUCAGGAAACAACCCAGGUGCCAGAGCUGGAGUCGAGAGAUUAGGCUUCUGAAUAACAGGUGGACAAGGUUGAAUGAUUUCAAAGCAAAAUAACUUCUCAAGCAAUGAAUCCUCCUUUGCUUCUCUAUCAUCAUCAGCAUUUGCAGCAGAUUCUACUUGCGGGAAUGGGUGGAAAUUAAUCAAGCCCCAAUAGUCCAAGAACUCAAGCACCUCUUGCUUUGCAUCUAGGUCUGCAACUUCAAGCUCAGACAGAUCUUUCAAUUCAAUCUGCACAUUUGGAUUUGCAUGAAAUUUUUUCACAAUCCAAUUACGUAUCUCCAUGUAGGUAUCAGGUGUCCUGGUUUGAGAGUUCAUAUUAAAGAAUGAAGGUAGUGCACGCUCCUCAAGGAGGUGAAUUUUCGUCCAUGAAAACCAACCGCAAUGAAUAGGCACCACAUGGGCGUUAGAAUCUUUGGAUCUAAUUCCCUCAAAAUCCGCUUCUAUUGCUGCCUGCAACUCCUCCAACUUAUUCACCUCCUCCUCCAGUGUUGCCACCGUCACAGCCCCCGACGUCGACAUAGCCACCUUCUCCUCGAGCUUACAUCCAGUAGCGGCGUAAGCCGCAGAAGACAAAUUGUUGGGGCUCUGGUGGGCUCUGGUCAACGGGCCUCCAUUGUGGAUCGAAGGGUGAGAGAUCAGGGCUUUCUCGCGUGUGAGGCGUUUCGACGGUGUCGAUGAAGAGUUGGAUGUUGAGAGCACGUUGGCUUUCCUCUUUAGUCCUCCGGCUCGCCGCCGUGACGACGGGGGCUCGGCCGAUGCCGGUGACUCCGCUCCCGCAGCGGCUGUGGUCCCCUUUGGUUUCUCCUCCAUUGAGCGAAUUCUUCAAGGGCUUGGCUCAAGAACUAAAGAAGAAACACCAAGGUUUUUAAGCCGG
rnacentral:misc_RNA from 1 species